GAAGUACUCACUCCGUCCGGAAAUACUUGUCAUUGUAAUGGAUGUAUCUAGAUGUAUUUUAGUUCUAGAUACAUCCAUUUUAAUCUAUUUUGAUGACAAGUAUUUCCGGACGGAGGGAGUAUUAA
rnacentral:pre_miRNA from 1 species